AUACAGAGAGUGCAAGCGUUAAUCGGAAUUACUGGGCGUAAAGCGCACGUAGGUGGAUAUUUAAGUCGGAUGUGAAAGCCCUGGGCUCAACCUAGGAAUUGCACCCGAUACUGGGUAUCUAGAGUAUGCGAGAGGGAAGUGGAAUUUCCGGUGUAGCGGUGAAAUGCGUAGAUAUCGGAAAGAACACCAGUGGCGAAGGCGGCUUCCUGGACCAAUACUGACACUGAGGUGCGAAAGCGUGGGGAGCAAACAGCAUUAGAAACCCCGGUAGUCC
rnacentral:rRNA from 1 species